rnacentral:rRNA from 1 species
CCUACGGGAGGCAGCAGUGGGGAAUAUUGCACAAUGGGGGAAACCCUGAUGCAGCGACGCCGCGUGAGUGAAGAAGUAUUUCGGUAUGUAAAGCUCUAUCAGCAGGGAAGAAAAAAGACGGUAUCUGACUAAGAAUCCCCGGCUCACUACGUGCCAGCAGCGGCGGUAAUACGUAGGGGGCACGCGUUAUCCGGAUGUACUGGGUGGAAAGGGAGCGUAGACGGGGCGGCAAGUCUGAAGUGAAAGGCAGGGGCUGAACCCCUGAACUGCGUUGGAAACCGCGGUGCUAGAGUGCAGGAGGGGUAGGUGGAAUUCCUAGUGUAGCGGUGAAAUGCGUAGAUAUUAGGAGGAACACCAGUGGCGAAGGCGGCUUACUGGACAGUAACUGACGUUGAGGCUCGAAAGCGUGGGGAGCAAACAGGAUUAGAUACCCGUGUAGUC